rnacentral:rRNA from 1 species
AAAGAUGAGCAUGCGUCCCAUUAGCUAGUUGGUAAGGUAACGGCUUACCAAGGCAACGAUGGGUAGGGGUCCUGAGAGGGAGAUCCCCCACACUGGUACUGAGACACGGACCAGACUCCUACGGGGAGGGCAGCAGUGAGGAAUAUUGGUCAAUGGGCGCAAGCCUGAACCAGCCAUGCCGCGUGCAGGAUGACGGUCCUAUGGAUUGUAAACUGCUUUUGCACAGGAAGAAACACUCGGUCGUGACCGAGCUUGACGGUACUGUGAGAAUAAGGAUCGGCUAACUCCGUGCCAGCAGCCGCGGUAAUACGGAGGAUCCAAGCGUUAUCCGGAAUCAUUGGGUUUAAAGGGUCCGUAGGCGGCCAGAUAAGUCAGUGGUGAAAGCCCAUCGCUCAACGAUGGAACGGCCAUUGAUACUGUUUGGCUUGAAUUAUUUGGAAGUAACUAGAAUAUGUAGUGUAGCGGUGAAAUGCUUAGAGAUUACAUGGAAUACCAAUUGCGAAGGCAGGUUACUACAAAUUGAUUGACGCUGAUGGACGAAAGCGUGGGUAGCGAACAGGAUUAGAUACCCUGGUAGUCCACGCCGUAAACGAUGGAUACUAGCUGUUGGGAGCAAUCUCAGUGGCUAAGCGAAAGUGAUAAGUAUCCCACCUGGGGAGUACGUUCGCAAGAAUGAAACUCAAAGGAAUUGACGGGGGCCCGCACAAGCGGUGGAGCAUGUGGUUUAAUUCGAUGAUACGCGAGGAACCUUACCAAGGCUUAAAUGUAGAUUGACCGGUUUGGAAACAGACUUUUCGCAAGACAUUUUACAAGGUGCUGCAUGAUUGUCGUCAGCUCGUGCCGUGAGGUGUCAGGUUAAGUCCUAUAACGAGCGCAACCCCUGUUGUUAGUUGCCAGCGAGUCAUGUCGGGAACUCUAGCAAGACUGCCAGUGUAAACUGUGAGGAAGGUGGGGAUGACGUCAAAUCAUCACGGCCCUUACGCCUUGGGCUACACACGUGCUACAAUGGCCGGUACAGAGAGAGAGC